rnacentral:misc_RNA from 1 species
UUUCCGUAGGUGAACCUGCGGAAGGAUCAUUCAUAAUAAAGUGUUUUAUGGCACUUUUUAAAAAUCCAUAUCCACCUUGUGUGCAAUGUUAGAUCUCGUCAAUCUUGGCGAGAUUUUUAUACAUCAACUCAUUCUUUAACUAAUUUGUCUGAAAAAUAUUAUGAAUACUUAAGUCAAAAUACAACUUUCAACAACGGAUCUCUUGGCUCUC